rnacentral:rRNA from 1 species
UAAGCAAUCUGCCCUUCUCAUCGGAAUAAGCGUUGGAAACGACGUCUAAUGCCGAAUACGACCUCCUUUCGCAUGAUCGGAGGUGGAAAGCUCCGGCGGAGAAGGAUGAGCUCGCGGCCUAUCAGCUAGUUGGUGUGGGUAAUGGCCCACCAAGGCGACGACGGGUAGCCGGCCUGAGAGGGUGACCGGCCACACUGGGACUGAGACACGGCCCAGACUCCUACGGGAGNAG